rnacentral:rRNA from 1 species
GACAGAGGGUGCAAAUGUUGUUCGGAAUUACUGGGCGUAAAGCGUGUGUAGGCGGUCUCAUAAGUCGGAUGUGAAAGCCCCGGGCUCAACCCGGGAAGUGCAUUCGAAACUGCGAGGCUAGAGUAUCGGAGAGGUUGGUGGAAUUCUCGGUGUAGAGGUGAAAUUCGUAGAUAUCGAGAGGAACACCGGUGGCGAAGGCGGCCAACUGGACGAAUACUGACGCUGAGACACGAAAGCGUGGGGAGCAAACAGG